UUUUGAUUACACUAUUUAAAUAGCCCCAUUUGGGGUCAGCUUUCGCUUACGGCCAUACCACUCUGAAAAAGCCUGAUCUCAUCUGACCUCGGAAGCAAAGCAGAGUUGGGCCUGGUUAGUACUUGGUUGGGAGACUGAAUGGGAAUACUAGGUGCUGUAAGCUUUUUAUUUGGAUCAGUGUUUUCAUGGCCUCUGCACAACAUCCUGUUUUGGGAUAAAGGUUGGACACAGGUUUGAAGGGGACCCAAUCAAUCAAUCAUCAGUCAGUCAGUCAGUCAGUCUUUUGAUUACACUAUUUAAAUAGCCCCCAUUUGGGGUCAGCUUUCGCUUACGGCCAUACCACUCUGAAAAAGCCUGAUCUCAUCUGACCUCGGAAGCAAAGCAGAGUUGGGCCUGGUUAGUACUUGGUUGGGAGACUGAAUGGGAAUACUAGGUGCUGUAAGCUUUUUUAUUUGGAUCAGUGUUUUCAUGGCCUCUGCACAACAUCCUGUUUUGGGAUAAAGGUUGGACACAGGUUUGAAGGGGACCCAAUCAAUCAAUCAAUCAAGUCAGUCAGUCAGUCAGUCAGUCAGUCUUUUGAUUACACUAUUUAAAUAGCCCCAUUUGGGGUCAGCUUUCGCUUACGGCCAUACCACUCUGAAAAAGCCUGAUCUCAUCUGACCUCGGAAGCAAAGCAGAGUUGGGCCUGGUUAGUACUUGGUUGGGAGACUGAAUGGGAAUACUAGGUGCUGUAAGCUUUUUAUUUGGAUCAGUGUUUUCAUGGCCUCUGCACAACAUCCUGUUUUGGGAUAAAGGUUGGACACAGGUUUGAAGGGGACCCAAUCAAUCAAUCAGUCAGUCAGUCAGUCAGUCAGUCUUCAGUCUUUUGAUUACACUAUUUAAAUAGGCCCCAUUUGGGGUCAGCUUUCGCUUACGGCCAUACCACUCUGAAAAAGCCUGAUCUCAUCUGACCUCGGAAGCAAAGCAGAGUUGGGCCUGGUUAGUACUUGGUUGGGAGACUGAAUGGGAAUACUAGGUGCUGUAAGCUUUUUAUUUGGAUCAGUGUUUUCAUGGCCUCUGCACAACAUCCUGUUUUGGGAUAAAGGUUGGACACAGGUUUGAAGGGGACCCAAUCAUACAAUCAAUCAGUCAGUCCAUCAGUCAAGUCAGUCAGUCUUUUGAUUACACUAUUUAAGAGGCCCCAUUUGGGGUAGCUUUCGCUUACGGCCAUACCACUCUGAAAAAGCCUGAUCUCAUCUGACCUCGGAAGCAAAGCAGAGUUGGGCCUGGUUAGUACUUGGUUGGGAGACUGAAUGGGAAUACUAGGUGCUGUAAGCUUUUUAUUUGGAUCAGUGUUUUCAUGGCCUCUGCACAACAUCCUGUUUUGGAUAAAGGUUGGACACAGGUUUGAAGGGGACCCAAUCAAUCAAUCAAUCAAUCAGUCAGUCAGUCAGUCACUCAGUCAGUCUUUUGAUUACACUAUUUAAAUAGGCCCCAUUUGGGGUCAGCUUUCGCUUACGGCCAUACCAC
ensembl:lncRNA